GUCUUCUUGUUUUUAUAGGAAGUCUGACCUGCCCGGUGAUUUUUUUUAACGGCCGCGGUAUAUUGACCGUGCAAAGGUAGCAUAAUCAUUAGCUUUUUAAUAGGGAGCUGGUAUGAAGGGUUUGACGAGGAGUUGACUGUCUCAUUUUAAUUAGUUGAAUUUGACUUUUUAGUUAAAAGGCUUUAAAAUUUUAUUGGUAGACGAGAAGACCCUAUAGAGCUUUACAUUUAUACCUUUUAAUUUUUUUGUUUAAUCUUAAAUUAUUUUUGUAUCAAUAUGUUUUGUUGGGGUGAUGUUUGAAUAUAUAUAACUUCUUUUUUUCUUAUCAUUGAUGUAUGUUUUAUUGAUCCGUUUAUGUUAGCGAUUAUUAGAUUAAGUUACCUUAGGGAUAACAGCGUAAUCCUUUUUUGGAGUUCUUAUUUACAGAAGGGCUUGCGACCUCGAUGUUGGAUUAAGAUGACUUUCUGGCGCAGUUGCUAGAGUAGUGGGUCUGUUCGACCUUUAAAUUCUUACAUGAUCUGAGUUCAGACCGG
rnacentral:rRNA from 1 species